UACAGAGGGUGCAAGCGUUGUUCGGAAUUAUUGGGCGUAAAGCGCGUGUAGGCGGCUUUGCAAGUCAGAUGUGAAAGCCCUCGGCUUAACCGAGGAAGUGCGUCUGAAACUGCAGAGCUUGAGUGUCGGAGAGGAUGGCGGAAUUCCCGGUGUAGAGGUGAAAUUCGUAGAUAUCGGGAGGAACACCAGUGGCGAAGGCGGCGAUCUGGGUCGAUACUGACGCUGAGGUGCGAAAGCGUGGGGAGCAAACAGG
rnacentral:rRNA from 1 species